rnacentral:lncRNA from 1 species
CUAGGAAAACCGAAAACAGUUCUAGACAGACCUGCGGUUUUAUAGCAGUUUUGGCAGUCAACUUCAGCUUGUGCCUGAGCAGACGGGGGCUGUGGUGGCCCGCCAGCGGGGGGACGCCAGGCCGCCUCCCUCGGCUGCACGCAGCCCCUCUCUUAAUUAGCUCGGUUUUCCCCUGGUGCCAGGGAGAGCGGUCCCCGCGGAGAGG